UACGUAGGGUCCAAGCGUUGUCCGGAGUUACUGGGCGUAAAGCGCGCGCAGGUGGUCCACUAAGCCCGGCGUGAAAGCCCCGGCUCAACCGGGGAGGGUCGUCGGGGACUGGUGGACUUGAGGGUGGCAGGGGCUGGUGGAAUUCCCGGUGUAGUGGUGAAAUGCGUAGAGAUCGGGAGGAACACCCGUGGCGAAGGCGGCCAGCUGGGCCAACCCUGACACUGAGGCGCGAAGGCGUGGGGAGCGAACGGG
rnacentral:rRNA from 1 species